rnacentral:lncRNA from 1 species
GAAGCAGAAGUAAGAAAGUAGGAACAGAAAAGCUUAAAGAAGAAGGAAAAGUCACUCUUGAUGAGGAUGAAUAUCUCUGUACUGUUGGUGCUUCUGCCAGUUGGGAUUGUUGGAGCUGAUUCAUAUGGAGUUUCAGUGAUGGAGGGAGAUCCAGUCACUCUACCCACCAAUGUUACAAAAACCCAACAGGAAGAUGUUAAAUAUUAUUUCAACAACACUCUUAUCGCUCAACUCACUGGAGAUCUCAGUUUUGCUUGCACUGAUGUGCAGUGUAAUAAAGUGAAUGAGAGAUUCAGAGGCCGACUGAAGCUAGACUAUGAAACUGGAACUCUGACCAUCAUGAACACCACAAGCACAGACUCUGGAGAUUAUCAUCAAGAGAUCAUCGGCAGCGGCACCAUCCAUGAAAAUAUCUUCAAUGUUUCUGUCCAUAAUGUUUCUGCUACUAAAAGAGAUGUAGUCAAGAAAAUGUCAGAGAAGGAGGGAGAAUCUGUCACUUCAGAUUCUGGUAAUAAAUUAAUAAUGCAAUCAAUAAUUUUAUUACUUUGA